rnacentral:lncRNA from 1 species
GCGCCGGGGGCGGGGCCGCAGGGCGAACUUGGGGAGCCGGAGAGGAGCAGAAAGUGCCCUGCACGGCCCUGGGCUCCCUGCGGGGACCCGGCGGCCUCGGUGUCCCGCUGGACACUUACUGAGUUCGCCUGACAGGUGAAUAACGACCCGAAUGCGCUUCCUUCUCUAAUCCAGCUGAACUUUGUCAAGAAUUUAUUUCCAAACGGCUUGCGUUUCUGGACACACGAAAACAGCACUUGUCACUGGCCAGCCGCCCUCGGACCUGCUGUGGGCACCCUCGGUGGCCGCCUCCUCUGAGACAGCGCCGCUCCCCGCAGGUGUCCUGGCCGCGCACCUUCCGUGGCAGCCGCGCGUGGCCUGGGUUGUCAGGUCAGAGCGGGAAUGCAUUACUCAGCGCUGCCACCUCACUCUGCUGUGGCUGUUUCUUUCAUAAUUAAUUACUCGGUGACUUAUUUUUGUUUUUAAAGCAUCCGAGAUUAAUGACAUGUCCUUGUGGCAUCUGCUGUCAGAAGGUGUUGGGGAACCUGGAGCCAGCGGGUUCGGGAAGCCCCGCCCAGUACUGGCCGCCCCUGUUUUCAGCCCAGGCUUUCUUCGGGUGGAUGUGCUAAAUGCAAAGGACGCCGGGCAUCAUGGCACACGGCUGUAACCCCAGCACUCAGGGAGGCUGAGGCAGGAGGAUCACCCCGAGUUCGAGGCCAGCCUGGGCUACAGAGUGAGUUCAAAGCCAGUGACCAAAACUAUCAGACAGCUUGUGUUCUUAGUGAUAAAAAGGUGCCGUGUGAACCUAGGAUGUGUUAUGAGUGGCGCCGGCUUGCGUGUAUUUCUGCAACUUAGAGUCAACAGGAUGGCCACAGGCUGAGGUCUUUCCACCCCACAUCAGCUUCCCAGUAGUGCUUACAAAGACCCAAGCUCCAUGCCCGAACAGCCACUGUGGCCGUGGUAGAGUGGCCAUCUUGGGUGAGGCCUGACUGCUCUCCCCGGGGUGGGGAGGUGGGUGUGGGGUUCUGCGCAGCCCCACAAAGGCCCCCCAGGGGUGCCCUUUGCAGCUCACACCUUCCGGGCUCUUUCCAGCACAGGACUGUCCCUGAGGCGC